UUUCCCCAUCUCCUCAACUGACAUCAGCUACUUUCUGGAUAUAUCAAGUGAAAUCUUAAAGCAAUGAUGCUCUAAAAACACCUGUGAACCUUGACUUGCAGCCAAUCAAAGGAUGAGGGUGGAAAAUCCAAAACAUGGAGAGGAUCUGCCUUUUCAUCAGAGCUGAUGCAUGAAGAGAUUUGAAGCUUACGCAAGAUCAGAGGUGCCACAAUGGCGCUCGUCUCGACAGACCAAUGCGACCGGCAGAAAGAGCGAGGAACAGAAGGAAGAGUUUAGAUGGAUCACAUAACAACAGCUUACCUUGACAGGAGACAAGGAUAUGCCUGAACCUCCAGACCGUUCAACAAGUGGACCCUUUAGAGACUGCACCUUGCCAAAGCCUGCUGACGGACACUCAUGAUGCCAUUGGCUCACCACUUUGCAAUUUUAGGGAUGCACAGAGGAGACAGAGGCCCCAAGAGAACGACAGUAUCUGGGCAGCGAGCGAGCAUGAUUGUGGCUGGCCCUAAAAUACCCUGCGGUGGGGCUGGUAUUUCAAAGCUACGGCUGGGACAGCACAGAAACCGCAUGCCACUGCUUUCAACAUGCAUCUGACACUGCUGUACUGGAAACGGGGCAGACGAACCCAAAUGCCCUCAGGAGAUUGGCUCCCGUAUAACUGUGGUGUGAUUGUCGGGUGGUUUUGCAAGCCAUCAGACGCAGAUGUCCGGGAGGUUUUAUGAUGCGCCUUGGGUAAAUUGUCAUUUGGGGUCUGAGGGUUGAUUCAGUCACUCCAAAUCUUACAAAACAGGAAAAUCUCUUUGAAAAUGAAGAGUCAAUCUAAAAUAUUCUUUCCUGCUAUACCCAUGGAGUGGUUUAGCAGCUAAAGUUCAAAGUUGCUGGUUUGAUCACAGUUGUGCCUUGAGCAAGACACUUAAUCCCAGACUACUCCGGAGGAACUGCUGCUCUAAUAAUGCAUUUAAUGUCAUAUAAAGGAUAUUCCUACUUGAUAUCUCUGACCAUAAAGUUGUUCUAUUUUCUGGUGGCUGGAAGACAAAAAUAGCAGUGCUACCGCUAGCUUUGCUGUCAAGAAUGCACCUCAAUUUGUGGAGA